UCCGGCUUACCGCCGGCAGUCUCCGUAGAGUCCCCGCCAUGACGCGCUGGCAACAUAGAACGAGGGUUGCGCUCGUUGCGGGACUUAAGCCAACACCUCACGGCACGAGCUGACGACAGCCAUGCAGCACCUGUGCUAGCCCCCGAAGGACACGGGCUUUCACCCGCUUUAACUAGCAUGUCAAGCCCAGGUAAGGUUCUUCGCGUUGCAUCGAAUUAAACCACAUGCUCCGCUGCUUGUGCGGGUCCCCGUCAAUUCCUUUGAGUUUUAGCCUUGCGGCCGUACUCCCCAGGCGGGGCACUUAAUGCGUUAGCGUCGGCACGGGAGGAGUCGACACCUCCCACACCUAGUGCCCAUCGUUUACGGCGUGGACUAC
rnacentral:misc_RNA from 1 species